rfam:Picea glauca, whole genome shotgun sequence.
GGAAAGAUGGUUGAGCGGUUCAAGGCGUAGCAUUGGAACUGCUAUGUAGGCUUCUGCUUAUCGAGGGUUCGAAUCCCUCUCUUUCCG